AACGAACGCUGGCGGCAUGCCUAACACAUGCAAGUCGAACGAGCACUUCGGGCAUAGUGGCGCACGUGUGCGACGCGUGGGGGAACCUGCCCUUGUGGUCGACAUAACCCGCCGACUGGGGUUCUAAUACCGGAUAAGGUCUUCGGACAAAACAAUAGUCGCCUUUGGAUGGGCCUGCGUUGGAUUAGGUAGUUGGUAGGGUAAAGGCCUACCAAGGCUGCGAUCCAUAGCUGGUCUGAGAGGACGACCAGCCACACUGGGACUGAGACACGGCCCAGACUCCUACGGGAGGCAGCAGUGGGGAAUAUUGGACAAUGGGCGAAAGCCUGAUCCAGCAAUGCCGCGUGAGUGAUGAAGGCCUUAGGGUUGUAAAGCCCUUUUACCCGGGAUGAUAAUGACGGUACCGGGAGAAGAAGCCCCGGCUAACUCCGUG
rnacentral:rRNA from 1 species